rnacentral:misc_RNA from 1 species
GGAAUGUUUAGGUAGCUUUUAUCUCAUUGCAAUUGGUGGUUUUCUUUCAUGUGACUUCAAGAUUUUAGCAAAAAACUAGAAAUUAUGUUUUGGGCCGAGCUUGUUCUGAAAGAUGGAUACUUUUCAGCGAAUGGGAUGUGCUUGAAUUGAGCUUAGUAUGUAAAACUUGGUCUUGGAUGAUGUAUAGUACUUUCUGGACCAUCUUUUCUACAGUGGUUUAUUGCUUUUUGUAUUACUUGUAAUCUUAGAUGUUAUAUAUUGUUCAUGCUUUUGAGCCAGGACUGCUAACUUCUCACAAAAGUAUUUGCACGUUUACUUGUUUAUUGAGAACUUUUUGAUGUGGCUCGAUAUUUUUUUGGUUUUUCUUUCCUUCUUUCUUUCUCUUUGUUUGCUUUUAUCACAUUUGAAGUUCUGAUACCGACUCUUCAUCUGAUUGCUUGGUAUAUGAUAACUUGACAAGUUUUGACCUUAAAUUUUGAAAUUUUCAGGAUUUUGAUCUGAAAUCUUGAUAAGGCCUAACUUCUUAAACUUGAAAUAAAACCUGUAGUUCAUUUUUGCCAUCUUCAUUUUGUGUCCCCAUUUUCUUGUCAUAUUUGUUUUCCAUCUGUUUAUAAUGUGCCUUAAAAUAGAAAGGUUGUUAGGAUGCUAGUGGCUUUAUUAAACUAUAGUAUACCUGCAUGGCUGAAUAUCUGCUAACAGUAUGCUUCAUCCCACAUAUUGUUAAUUUGUGAUCAUAAAAUACAUUAUAUGUUAAACUAAGCCAUGUUGAGGAUGGAUUUGGAAAUUAUCACCUUAUUAGAAAUGGAAAUUGGUAUGUAGCAGAGCAAAGAUAAAAUUCAAUAGUUUGCCAGACCAGGGAAAAAUUAAUUGCUGACUAGAGCUGCAAGAAAAAUUAGUAGACACAAAUGCUUUGUGGAAUCUGAAAUAGUAAUGGGAAUUAUUGAAUGCUUGUCAUUGGAAUUUGGAGAAUAUUGAAUGAUAUUAAAUAGUUUUAGAGUUGUUUAUCAGUUUGGUUCUCUAAAAAGCUUCUCAGAUUAUAGAUCAGGGCAAUUUUAUGUCUAGUUAAAUUACUGGUGUCUUCUUUCUGUAAACUUCUGCGUUGAGUAUUUAGAAUUUCUAUAUUCUAAUUUUGAGUGAGAGAGAGAGA